AGAAACCAACAGGGAUUGCCCUAGUAACGGCGAGUGAAGCGGCAACAGCUCAAAUUUGAAAGCUGGCUCCGGCCCGCGUUGUAAUUUGCAGAGGAUGCUUCUGGCGAGGUGCCUUCCGAGUUCCCUGGAACGGGACGCCAUAGAGGGUGAGAGCCCCGUAUGGAUGGACACCAAACCUGUGUGAAGCUCCUUCAACGAGUCGAGUAGUUUGGGAAUGCUGCUCUAAAUGGGAGGUAAAUCUCUUCUAAAGCUAAAUACCGGCCAGAGACCGAUAGCGCACAAGUAGAGUGAUCGAAAGAUGAAAAGCACCUUGAAAAGGGGGUUAAACAGUACGUGAAAUUGUUGAAAGGGAAGCGCUUGUGACCAGACUUGCGCCGGGCAGCUCAUCAGGGGUUCUCCCCUGUGCACUCUGCCCGGCUCAGGCCAGCAUCGGUUCUCGUGGGAGGAUAAGAACGGUAGGAACGUGGCCCCCCUCCGGGGGGGUGUUAUAGCCUGCCGUACGAUACUCCCGUGGGGACCGAGGUUCGCGCUCCGCAAGGAUGCUGGCGUAAUGGUCAUCAGCGACCCGUCUUGAAAC
rnacentral:rRNA from 1 species